UGUUACCACAGUUCCGGGCACAUUUCUAUCCCAGCCCUGAUCACAGGUCAUUGCAGCCGCCUCCCUUUGUCUUCCUUUCGAGACUGCAAGCUCCGUGAGGCCCAGCACUGAGCCAUUCAACGCGAUGGGGAUCCCCAAUGCCAAGCAAGCACCUAACAGCAGAGUCUGUUUGAGAGAAUUGAGCCUCGGAUGGUACUAAC
rnacentral:lncRNA from 1 species